AAUCAACGCUGGCGGCGUGCCUCAGACAUGCAAGUCGAACGAUUAAAGCUCUCUUCGGAGAGUGUAUAGAGUGGCGCACGGGUGAGUAACACGUAAGUAAUCUACCCUCGAGUGGGGAAUAACAACCGGAAACGGUUGCUAAUACCGCAUAAUGCAGCGGCACCGCAAGGUGACAGUUGUUAAAGAUUUAUCGCUUGAGGAGGAGCUUGCGGCAGAUUAGCUAGUUGGUAGGGUAACGGCUUACCAAGGCUACGAUCUGUAACCGGUCUAAGAGGACGGUCGGUCACACUGACACUGAAUAACGGGUCAGACUCCUACGGGAGGCAGCAGUCGGGAAUUUUGGGCAAUGGGCGAAAGCCUGACCCAGCAACGCCGCGUGAAGGAUGAAGUAUUUCGGUAUGUAAACUUCGAAAGAAUAGGAAGAAUUAAUGACGGUACUAUUUAUAAGGUCCGGCUAACUACGUGCCAGCAGCCGCGGUAAUGUAUCGUAG
rnacentral:rRNA from 1 species